GAUGAACGCUGGCGGCGUGCCUAAUACAUGCAAGUCGAGCGAACAGACGAGGAGCUUGCUCCUCUGACGUUAGCGGCGGACGGGUGAGUAACACGUGGAUAACCUACCUAUAAGACUGGGAUAACUUCGGGAAACCGGUGCUACUACCGGAUAAUAUAUUGAACCGCAUGGUUCAAUAGUGAAAGACGGUUUUGCUGUCACUUAUAGAUGGAUCCGCGCCGCAUUAGCUAGUUGGUAAGGUAACGGCUUACCAAGGCAACGAUGCGUAGCCGACCUGAGAGGGUGAUCGGCCACACUGGAACUGAGACACGGUCCAGACUCCUACGGGAGGCAGCAGUAGGGAAUCUUCCGCAAUGGGCGAAAGCCUGACGGAGCAACGCCGCGUGAGUGAUGAAGGUCUUCGGAUCGUAAAACUCUGUUAUUAGGGAAGAACAAAUGUGUAAGUAACUAUGCACGUCUUGACGGUACCUAAUCAGAAAGCCACGGCUAACUACGUG
rnacentral:rRNA from 1 species